rnacentral:rRNA from 1 species
GUAGGUGGCAAGCGUUGUCCGGGAAUUAUUGGGGCGUAAAGCGCGCGCAGGCGGUUCUUUAAGUCUGAUGUGAAAGCCCACGGGCUCAACCGUGGAGGGUCAUUGGAAACUGGAGAACUUGAGUACAGAAGAGGAAAGCGGAAUUCCACGUGUAGCGGUGAAAUGCGUAGAGAUGUGGAGGAACACCAGUGGCGAAGGCGGCUUUCUGGUCUGUAACUGACGCUGAGGCGCGAAAGCGUGGGGAGCAAACAGGAUUAGAUACCCUGGUAGUCCGCGCCGUAAACGAUGAGUGCUAAGUGUUAGGGGGUUUCCGCCCCUUAGUGCUGCAGCUAACGCAUUAAGCACUCCGCCUGGGGAGUACGGCCGCAAAGGCUG